UACAGAGGGUGCGAGCGUUAAUCGGAAUUACUGGGCGUAAAGGGUGCGUAGGUGGUUAUGUAAGUUAGGUGUGAAAUUCCUGGGCUUAACCUGGGGACUGCGCCUGAUACUGUGUAGCUAGAGUACUGUAGAGGAAAGUGGAAUUUCCGGUGUAGCGGUGAAAUGCGUAGAUAUCGGAAGGAACAUCGGUGGCGAAGGCGACUUUCUGGACAGCUACUGACACUGAGGCACGAAAGCGUGGGGAGCGAACAGG
rnacentral:rRNA from 1 species